GAGUGUAUGGGAAAUCCAGAAACCCAUGCACAGGACCACAUGAAGACGGGUGCCUCUUGUCUCCUUACACGCUACACAGCAGUGAUCCGCAGCCUCCUGUUUUGCCAUGAGGGCUCAUUCCCCUCAGUGAAUUUGUACAACAUUCCUGUUUCCUGCAGGUGCCUGCUCAGAGGUGCAGUUCCAAAUAUUUGUCUCUUUUCCCUUUGGACUUCAUUGUUCUGCUCAUCCUCCCACCAAGGGAAGACAGUGAGAUGUGAAAACCAGGCUACAGGUCUUUUCACUGGGUGGGGAAGGCACUGCCAGAUGCCAGCUGGGCCACACAGAGCAUCUCCAGGUGGACUGAGCCUUUGUAGCCACGGCAAGGAGCAAGAAGAGUGACUGACUGUGGCGACAACAGCUGACAUCACCCGGCAGUAUUCAGGGACUGCCAGAGAGGUCAUUUCAGCUUCUCACUAUUUGAUAUUUUCUUCACACAACACAGCUUCUAAGCAAGAGCGGGUGUGCCUUAACAGGAAGAAGGAUCAGAAGUGGAGUAGCCAAGACUCAAACCAGCCACUCCAAUAUGGAAUGUGGGUCUCCUCUGCACCAUUCACCUACCCAAGAUUCUACACUUACAUUUCCU